rnacentral:rRNA from 1 species
AUGAACGCUGGCGGCGUGCCUAAUACAUGCCAGUCGAGCGAACAGACGAGGAGCUUGCUCCUCUGACGUUAGCGGCGGACGGGUGAGUAACACGUGGAUAACCUACCUAUAAGACUGGGAUAACUUCGGGAAACCGGAGCUAAUACCGGAUAAUAUAUUGAACCGCAUGGUUCAAUAGUGAAAGACGGUUUUGCUGUCACUUAUAGAUGGAUCCGCGCCGCAUUAGCUAGUUGGUAAGGUAACGGCUUACCAAGGCAACGAUGCGUAGCCGACCUGAGAGGGUGAUCGGCCACACUGGAACUGAGACACGGUCCAGACUCCUACGGGAGGCAGCAGUAGGGAAUCUUCCGCAAUGGGCGAAAGCCUGACGGAGCAACGCCGCGUGAGUGAUGAAGGUCUUCGGAUCGUAAAACUCUGUUAUUAGGGAAGAACAAAUGUGUAAGUAACUAUGCACGUCUUGACGGUACCUAAUCAGGAAGCCACGGCUAACUACGUG